GAAAAUCUGCAGUGAAGUGCCCAUUUAAAUUAUUGAUUCAAUCAACUUGGAGCAGAAUCCAAACUGGCCUACAUUGAAACUUCACAAAAUUUGAGGCAGUAGUCAAAGUACAGCAUGACAAUCAGUAGAGGGGCGUGGCCGGAAAGACCAAGGACAAAGAAAAAGUAUUUAUUAAAGUCUCUACUUUUUUGGUACAACACAAAUGGUAAAAAUAGUACUGACAAUUACUUACUCCACAGUAAACAUUUCCCGCCUCACCAACCAAUGCAAAUUGCAAAACGCUACAUUUACACUACCUUCUUUUUCACACAAACUCGCAGGAAAAUUUUCUUGCUGGAGAAAAUCAUGGGAAAAUUUGCUGAGAAAAGCCACACCCAGAUGUACAGUCUCUGGUACACAUUUAUGUAUAAUGCAUGCCCAAGUUGGUAGAAGAAAACCAUUCCUCACAUGCAAUGUUUUUCUCGUCUUCCCCCACUUGUCAGGAUUUGGUGAAGCAUGCCAGAAACUGUUGGCCCUUCAGUCCUUGUGAAGCUGCUCUAUCAAUGAUAGCUUUGUACCCACAAUUUUUGGCCUUUUAUUCCUUGAAAAUCUGAUAAAAUGAUGGGGAAUUGAUCUGUAAUUUUCUCUCAUACCAAACACCUUAGUUUAAAUAUGAUAAGCUGUAUCAUUCAGGAUUACCAUGAUGAAAAAGAUUAACCAUAGUCUGAAGCCUAAAAUAGAAGGAAAGGCAGUUACUUGAUUAAAUUAAUGCAUGGUUUGAGCUCACCUUCUCUGGCCCAGUGAGUAGGCAUCUGCUCCAAGACCAUGGCCAUGUGCCUGAAAAAUAGUGGUAAGAUCAUAUGUUGUAAACUAGUCUCUGGUUAUUAAAAAAAAAUUGAGCACACUGAAUCUUUUACCUCCAACACAUGACAUCAAUGAGAUUACAGGUUUUUCUAUGGCUACUACACAUUCCAUUAUUUGGGGAAAAAGAAAGAUCUGUAUGUAUGUCAAUGCUUGGCAACAUCCAUGGGAAUUCCAUAUUCAAGAGAAAAGGCACUCAUAUCUCUUCCUAGUUGUGCUGCAUCAACUUCCAGCUUUACAUUCUUUGUAAAUUUUUGUAGAAAUAUGUUUCAGUUUACUCAAUAAUGAACAUAGCCAUUUUUCUUUCAAAUCUUUUUUGUGUAAACUUCUUUUAGGUAUCAGAGCAGCCAUUUGCUUUGAACAUGACUAUUUCUGAUGAACCAUGUCUAUCUAUUCAAUAAGCCCUACCAAUUUCCUUCCAUGGUGAACCCAAGUACUGCAAUUGAUACUAAGAAGUUUAGGAACAGCUCAUUAUACAAGGACGAGUGCGAAAUAUUUCUGAGAAUCCUCAUUUUAUGACCUUGAUGAACAAUGAUGGACUGAUCUUAAUGUCCUGGCUUCUCUGUAAUAUGACCGAGGAAGUUCUCAGCAUGGUAAUUGGUACAAUACAGCCAUAAAGAUCCGGAGAAUGUUGGAGGAGCAGCCGUUGCCUAACACUAAGGAAAGUGAAGAAAGAUUGAGAGACUCUCUUUACACUAAGGAGGGGCUCUCAAUGUCUUGAUGAACACAUCAAGAGGUUUAA
rnacentral:lncRNA from 1 species